AUGCACGCUGGCGGCGUGCCUAAUACAUGCAAGUCGAGCGAACGGACGAGAAGCUUGCUUCUCUGAUGUUAGCGGCGAACGGGUGAGUAACACGUGGAUAACCUACCUAUAAGACUGGGAUAACUUCGGGAAACCGGAGCUAAUACCGGAUAAUAUUUUGAACCGCAUGGUUCAAAAGUGAAAGACGGUCUUGGUGUCACUUAUAGAUGGAUCCGCGCUGCAUUAGCUAGUUGGUAAGGUAACGGCUUACCAAGGCAACGAUGCAUAGCCGACCUGAGAGGGUGAUCGGCCACACUGGAACUGAGACACGGUCCAGACUCCUACGGGAGGCAGCAGUAGGGAAUCUUCCGCAAUGGGCGAAAGCCUGACGGAGCAACGCCGCGUGAGUGAUGAAGGUCUUCGGAUCGUAAAACUCUGUUAUUAGGGAAGAACAUAUGUGUAAGUAACUGUGCACAUCUUGACGGUACCUAAUCAGAAAGCCACGGCUAACUACGUG
rnacentral:rRNA from 1 species